GCUCAGUGGUAGAGCGGCUGACUGCAGAUCAGCAGGUCCUCAGUUCAAAUCUGGG
rnacentral:tRNA from 1 species